rnacentral:lncRNA from 10 species
CUUAGGACACCAAAAAAUCACAGGUUUUGAAUUAUACAGCAUAAUUUAAGAAAUUCUGAUACAAUGAUGCUGAGAUCUGGAGAAAAACCUUGUCAUCAUUGAGCUCCCCUCUUGCUCUGCUCCAUGGCAGCUUGGGCUGGAUCUGUGAGCAGCUCUGCCUUUCAUGGCAGAGAAGGAUAAACAGCAGUUGAGAGAGCUGGACGGCUGCCCAACUUCGCAGGGCUCCAGUCUCUGCAGUGUGCUGUAAGUAUUCAUUUGCAUUCUCAAAACAUCAAACAUUUCACAUUCAAAUGCAAACACACAAAUUCCAAAGCAAAAUGGAAAACUCGAAGAUAUUCUUUUACUUCAUUUGUAAAUAAUUGAGAAACCCCUGUAAAAGCUUUUGC